rnacentral:rRNA from 1 species
UGGGGAAUAUUGGACAAUGCGGGAAACCGUGAUCCAGCAAUGCCGCGUGAGUGAUGAAGGCCUUAGGGUUGUAAAGCUCUUUUACCAGGGAUGAUAAUGACAGUACCUGGAGAAUAAGCUCCGGCUAACUCCGUGCCAGCAGCCGCGGUAAUACGGAGGGAGCUAGCGUUGUUCGGAAUUACUGGGCGUAAAGCGCGCGUAGGCGGCGUAUCAAGUCAGGGGUGAAAUCCCGGGGCUCAACCCCGGAACUGCCCUUGAAACUAGUAUGCUAGAAUACUGGAGAGGUGAGUGGAAUUCCGAGUGUAGAGGUGAAAUUCGUAGAUAUUGGUAAGAACACCAGUGGCGAAUGCGCUCUGCUGGGCCGUAACUGACACUCAUGGACGAAAGCUAGGGGAGCGAAAGGGAUUAGAUACCCCCGUAGUCC